rnacentral:lncRNA from 1 species
UUUAAAGUGUAUAUGAUAUAUAUAUUUGCAAAGGUCAAUACAACUGAUGCACUACGUAUUUACAUACUUUCAAAAACUAAAUACUACUAAAACACAUGUUCUUACUUAAAAAUAAAAACAAGAGCAUCUACGGGGUCAUAAUUUCUAAUCUAAUAACAACCCAAAAGUAAGUCUUUCUUCUAGUAGCUUGAGCAUUAGAUGGACCAUAUUGUCAGCUAUGUUGGUUUAUUCAUCCUCAUCCUGCAAAAGAAGAUAAAUUAUAAUUAUAUUUUUUAUAAAAAUAAUUAUAAAGUACACAAGUACAGAUCAAAAAAAGAAAAGUUGGGCACCAACGAAUGAUAUAAAAAGAUUCUUAUAACCAAAGCUAAAGCUAAGAAAUUAUCAAGUAAGAAUUAUAUGGAAGACUAUCAAAAUCAUGCCUAUAGUAAGCUAGUUGUCUAUGAAGCCUUUAUUAAUCUAACCUCAUGAUCAUGAUUCAUGAAGAAGCAAAAGUCUACCGAAAACGAAAUUUUACAUGUCAAAAUUAGUAAGUAUACAAUAUAUGUAUUCUUGGACACCACUCCAAAUGUUGUUCUACAACUACAGUUGGUCCAACCAAAGAUAGCUUAGAAUCAAUCUAUUUCACUUUUCUCUUCAGCAUUAUCCCUUUAUUUUUUAUUUCACCAAGUCAACCAAACAUCCUAUGAAAAUCUAUAUAUACAUGACUUGCAUAUACGCUUCCAAAAUCCAGAAUAACAGCAGAAAGAACUUUACAAAGAGAGAAAAGGCAAAGAGAUCUUUUUCUUUACAAAAAUGGGUGCUAUAUUGGAAUACUUUUGGUCUCUCUCAUUACAUCAUGUCUCCUCCAUAUCGUUUCAGCUGCAACCAGGCAUUAUAAAUUUGAAGUAUGUAUAUUAUUGCAUAGUUUCCUACAAUUUUAUAGCAUUGAAUUGAACUUGACAUUGCCAAAGAAAAUUUAUACUAUAGGUGUAUUUUACAUGAUGUAGCAGGUUAUGUAGAAAUUAAAUCUCUAUAUAUUUUCUGUGCAAGAAUCAGCAUUACUUAUUCCAUGUUUUUCAUCUCUUUGGAUUAUAUUUCAGAUCAAAAUGCAAAAUGUGACAAGACUAUGCCACACCAAGAGUAUCGUGACAGUAAAUGGACAAUUCCCUGGACCUAAAGUUGAGGCAAGGGAAGGCGAUCGCCUUGAAAUUGAUCGAACUUGCACCAUGUAACAUAAAAGAGGAAAGCUAACUACCUACUAUAGAAAUCCUACCAUGUACUAUACAUGCCUGACUAAUCAAUCUUUCAGUACUAGGACCAGGACAAAUAACAAUUCCAAGUAACUUUCAAGGCACUCCAAUUUUUUUUCUUUAUCAAACUAUUAAGCAAAACUAUGCUCUUUCUCUAUUGUAGUGAUUACAAUGCACAAAUGUAAUUUGUAAAGUUUGGGGGACUGUUCAUAAAAUAGUAUCGUUAUACCCGUUGUAUUUCUAUUUAACUUAGCAUUCAUUGUUGCGCAUCUCACAUAAAAGAGCACAGAAAACAUAAAAUGUUAUGGUCAUAAUAUCUCAAUUUGGUGAUUUUGAACUCAGAUGACAAAACUAAAUAAAGUGCAACUGAAAACUAUAACACAAACAUGAUAUUGAACAAUAUCAACCAACAAAUUUAUUUUUAUAAGACUUAGACAAAGUUUCUUACCGUGAUGUUAUUCAUAAGUCUUGAACGACUUGUCUCAUUUGAACCACUUAAAUUAGAAAUAAUGUUGAGAAUUCCACCAGAAACUCCAUUCUGUUAAACAUAAUAAAACUGCAUAACUUAAUUUGUCAUACAAAUCAGUGGAAAGGAAUGAUAUGGGAACGAGUCAAAAACAAAAAUAGUAAGAGCUAGCGACAUAAGUAAUUAAUCAAAACUCGUAAAAAUAAAGACAUAUGUUACCUGUUCAAAAGAAAUUGCCGGGAAUGAUUUGGUUUUGUUUCGCUCACUCAUUCUCUGCAUUGAGUAUGAGUCCGUAAAUAUAUAUUUUUUGAUGUACUAUAAGAAGUAGAAUAAGAAAAUAAAUAAUAUAGAAAAUUUCAGUGAAGUUAGUAAACCAAGAAAGAAAAGUUUUUUAAAAUGUGGAAUACAGUCAACGGAAGACAAAAUGAAGAAGGUAGAUCAUCAAUGAAAUAAGAGAUUAAAUGUAUAAUCUGUUAGAAGGAAAACCUAAUAACUUACGUGUUCUCAUAAGCAAGGGAACAUAUUAACAAUUAUUUAAAACGAAGCAUCCUUUGGAAAAUGAAAGGCUGGCUUAACAAAAUGCUGAGAACUAAAAGAAACAGAUCCAGAUCACUUGAGUUUUAACAACUCUGAAAAUGUUGUCAGCCUCCCAAAACAGUUAAAAUGCUAAUUUUCAUUAUUUGACUAUCCAUGAGCAAUCCAAUUUUUGUAAUUUACCUUGGUUUAAUGAAGGGAUAUGGUCUUUUACUUGUCAUCUAAAUCAUAGAGUAGGUAAGUUUCCCCAGCCAAAUUUUUUCCCCCGAGAGCACUAGUUGCU